UCAUCUCAGUUUCUACAUUCUGUUGGAAAUCCUACUUUUCCUCCAAGGUUUCUGUGAUGCCUGACGUCACCCCGCAGAUGGGUUUUGCCCCAGCCUCCCUCCCGGGGCUCCCGUCCUGGACUCACCACCGACCGCAUCUAUUGCUUUGGGCAAAUUGUCUCCGCUUGCUACAUGAGUAUGAACCUGUUCUACGAUCGGGGCUAUUUUAAAUGGCUGUUGCAAGGAAAGCACUUUACGUAGUGCCCUGAAAGGCAACGGUUAACGGAGGAAAAGCACUUUACAGAACGCCCCAGUGUACGGUCAAUUCUCAGUAAAUGGUUUUGUUUUUGCCUUGUUAAGGCGAGAUCCUGCCUCCCACACGCAGAGACGUGGCCUCAUCUUUGCCAGCGUCAGUGGAACCCUCUCUCGGCAAGGCUCUGACUCUGGACUGUGUGCCCGAGACCGCACCCCCAGUACUAGCAAGAAGGUAGAACAGUGGCCGAACGACGUUCACCGAGCAGGGACCGAGCGCCGCGCUGGGUGGUUUUGCAAGUAACAGCUCACUCACUUCCUACAGCAGCGGCGCCAGCCCAGGAGGAGGUACUGUUCUCCCAUCUUGUGGAUGAGGACACUGAGGCAACCUCUUCCUGGACAUUUGUCCAAUUUACGGAGCUGCAAGGCGUGGGCCGUGAGUCCAAGCCCGUGAGUCUUCAGCGAUUCUAACCGCUACCCCCUCUGACGGUUACCCUGCCUCCAAACGUACAAGUAGAUGACCUUUCUUUCCUCGGCUCAAAGAAAGAACAACUCUCCAGGGGCUGGUACCAGGAGGGACGCAGGCGAUCAGCGAGCCAGACUGCUCGCGAGCCUGGGAGGGGAGUGAAGCCCGGGAACCAGCCACUUGCACACGUCCCUACAGCUAAGUGAGUAUUAGCUUCACAGCUGCAACCUGGGUCUGUCUAGUGUCAAUCCUGCACCCUCUGCCUCCGUCUCUCGCACCCCACAACGACACGACCCAUCGUCUCCCGUGCAUUAUUAAUUUCCUAUGUGGUUACGUUGUUUCUUAAUACCCAUGUCUCCCCAGUCAACCGUAGCCUUUCCAUAUGGAGUUUCAGAUCCUAUAAAUUAAAUGAGAACAGCAUGUUACACAGGAAUGAAGGAAUGGUUGUUGGAUUUUUUUUUUUUUUUUGAGAUUACAGUGACUUCGACCCGUAGGUAUUUAUGGAAAAACACUAGGAUAUUUACAAAUGUGUUAACGCUGGAACUGUAUUUUAAUUGGUUUCAUGAAAGAAAAGGACUUGGAAGCCCUGGGAUUAAUAUAAUUACUUUGCUAGAGACGAUGAAUUCUUGGCUGGCGUCUUCUGCAGGGGACCGGGUCUGUGAGCCCCUGCGAGGCUGGAGCCCUGGCGGAGAGAAGCCCGGGGCGGCAGAACCCUGGUGUGGCAGGGGGAGCAUCUGAGAGAGACGCCAGGGCUCUGCGCUUGGGGACGAGACAGUUAAAGCCUCCCCGUGCGAGCCAGUUCUAUCACACGGCGCUGGCGACAGGUCAACAGUCUGGCAGGAGCGCGGACGGGGCUGAUGAUGCCAGGCGGUGCCAGGGACCCCGGGGAGCCCUAAAGAGGCUCCCCACACCGGCUUUCCUUCUGCAGCCCGGGGGAUGUUCCGGCAACUGCCUCAUGCAAGGAAACUGGGGCUGUGUCGCUGCUUUCCGGGCGAGCCACGCUGGAGCACUGACGUCCCCGGGCCGAGAGCCCACUGUGGCUGUGACAAAGGGACCCCGGCUGAGAGCCUGCGCAGGUUGACUGUCAAUGGGGUUUCUACGAGUUGCUUACACGGUGUGAGCAGAGCCGCUAGCAAUGAGAAGGCACAGAGGAACCAGCACGCGCUCAGGAGAGCAGCCGGGCCCUUGAGCGGCCAGGCCUCGGAUGUCAUUCAGGGAGCAACGUUCUACGGGCUCUGUGCUUCUUUGUUGGUCCAUUUGUUUGUUUUUUUUUCUGGUACCUUCUGUGGCGGAGUAAUGCAGGGGCAUUUGCCGAAACGAAACCCUGACAUCUUUCCCGACGAGUUCAUUGUCUUUACCGAACAAUCAACUUUAAAGCCAUCUGAUUUGUAGAUUCAUCAACAGUGAUCAGCAGUUACACAGAUCCUCUAAGCAAUCAUGAAUAUGGUUUUUAAUUUACUAAGUUCCUUCUAUAGGACAACCACUGAACUAAAUACUUUGACUUACCGUAUUAAAACCCUCAAAAUAACUCUACGUAUUAGGCACGCUUAUGGUCCCCAUGUUUGUGAACAAACUCAAAGAAAGGUCUGGUGACUCGCAGGUCAGUCAUGGAGCUGACCGUAAACCAUGCCUGCGCGUCUCCAGCCCUGGACCUUGGCUGCUGCACGAUGUUGGGGAUUUCAGGCCUGGACGGGCCCUCAGAUGCCAACCUCUCUGGCUUCUUCCUUGGAUGGAUGGGGGCAGCCUGGCUCACGUGGCUCGCUGAAGACAAACUAGAAGCCAGAUUGCCCGUGGCUCAGUCCAGUGCCGUCCUAACCACAACAUGUCACCGAACGGAAACGACGCAGAGUACGUUCCGCCUGUUCUCUGUCCGUUCUUAAUACGGGAUGGUUUCCCGGCGCAGUCUGCCAUGUUGGCGUGUCCGCGUGUAGGCCAUUGAUUGGAAAUGACAUUCCAUUGAAAACGCCUCUGAGGACCAUACAUGGAUCUCCAGCAGGGAAGGGUUAAAGUUGCAGGGAUUUUGCAGGCUGGAUCAAAUGUUCUUGAGAGGCCAUUCUUCACAUCUUGUUUCUUUAGCACCGGGAGAAGGCGAGUAAUCAAAGGUGACAAGCUUUCUCUGCUCGUCGGGUCCCAUUCCCGGCGCAGGGCAGCCCACAGGCACAUUGAUCUGCAGCAGCAGCUGCUACUGGCCUCCGAUGCAGAGAUUCCAGGCCACACGGGGCCUCGUCGUGUUAUUGGAAGGAAGGGAGGAAGGAGUGAAGGCACCACUAUCAGCGAAUUGAGACAAAACCUAUUGUCUGCAACCAUGAGAUUCGGUCACCUUGAGUACAUGUGCAGUGUGAUUUAGCUGCUACCUCUGCUCAGGGCUCGGAGGUGGAAGGCAAGCACACUGGACGGUUGCUGGCCUACUUGGAUGUAUUGGUCUGCAGUCUGAAGGGGCUAGGAGGGGCCGGAGGCGCUCCUCUUGGAACAGACACCGAGAGCAGUACGAGAGCUGCGUUACAAAAGUCUCUGUCCGGAAGCGGAGGAAGACACCACAGAAUAACGAAUGCCCUUCUCUGCCAUUUUCUCACGGACUCUUUUUUUUUUUUUUUUAAAGUAUAAUUUAUUGUCAAGUUAGCUAACUGACAGUGUAUACAGUGUGCUCUGGGUUUGAGGGGGUAGAUUCCGUGAUUCAUCACUUACAUACAACACCCGGGGCUCAGCCCAACGAAGCUACCUUCUGGAAUAGAAGGGGACGGUGGGAAAGGGGGAGACAAAGAAUCCAUCGACACAUAUGCAUCUGCUGUCUGCGAGGCCCUUCACGAAAACGAUAACCUUAUUAUCGUUAACUACUUUCUAACCGCCUUGCGUGAGAGAAGAUGUUUAUCGCCAUUUAAAUAAGGAAGGAAUGAAUUUGGGAGAGGCGAACCAACUUGCCCAAAUCCUACGCCGCAUCUGCAGAAAGAACUGGAAGGAAGGUGUGCUGAGGUUGAGGAUAAGGACAGUCAAGGCCGUUCGUUUCCUUAUGGGAUAUGUCAGAUUCCUUGAGACGUCCUGCAGAGUGGCUUUGAGUGAGGCUGGGUUCCCAUAUUUUGAGUAUGAUUUGUAAAUCUAAGCCUUUUGUUCCCCAUCAACGCGAUUUUGUUUUCCUACCAAAUAGGCGUGGCACGGAGAGACAUCUUGCAUUUGUGUCAGGUAUUGUGUUAUCGUGUGAAGGACCUUUAGGGAGUAUGAUGCCAUGUGGAUAGAAUCGUUCUGAUCUGGCUAGCCCAGGAAAGCCUGACCUGCUCGGUGAGCCUUGGGUGUAAAACAUAUGGGGCCCCUUGUGGUUGAUCUCCUCCUUUUCUCCAUUUUGAUUUCCGGUUUCUUCUUUAUAUCUUAGGUCUUGGCCAACACUCUUGAAUUUCUGAGUUCUGACUCACACUUUCAAUAGCAAUUAGGGUGUUCAGAACUGUGUCUUUUAGUGUCUUCAAAAUCUCAGUUCUGAUGGAAGAGCUCACAACAGCUUCUUGUUUUGAACCAGACUCUCUACCCCCAUGAACUUCUCUGCAGAGUCUUGCCACCCACCUCUUGGUGUGACAAUUACCAUGUCUGUCCUGACCAAAGUGUGAAUUCCAUAGUAUGCAUCCACGGUAUAAUUAACAUUGGCCGUUCCUUGUAGAAGCUAUAAAAGGUAUCAGAAGGAUUGGUUUUAAAGAGAAACAAGAGAAAAAAAAAAUUGAUUCCUAGAAGAAAAGACUUGUCAAGGCAAUUUCUUGCAAGAGCAAACCCUUCAUUAGAAAUCAAGUUAGAUCUAAUUUUGAAGGAGUGGAUAGAUGUCUCCUGGUAUUUCCUAUUGUCAUAUCAUAUAUGACACGUAUAGACGAGAGUGAUUGUUUUCAAUCCCACCUAUAUUAAAAGAGAGCUCACCAAAUGGGUAAAAUCGAAUGUAAUUAGUUUUACCUAAAUUGUAGGUUUUCAGAGCAAUUAAUGAAACUGAAAGUUGAAAGCUGCUUGUUAAGCAAAUCAAAGAUCAAGGAAUGUAUUUCUUUUAUUGAAUGUCACUCCUAUGUAAACCAACCUACACAAGUCAUGUUCAUGUUUGAAAUACAACAAGUAUGUCGUGGGAAGCCCCGGCAGAAGCAGCAACAGAGGCAGUUCACGCGUUGCCCGCUUUCCCGCCGACAACGGCAGCCGCAUGCUAGGAUUUGGAACCGAGAUAGACCUGGUUUUGAGGCAGAACUCAGCUCUUCACUGGCCUAGGAGCAUGAAUGCUUUCUUCACCGCUGAAGCCUCACAUUCUCUGGUCUAUUCCUGCCUUUAGAAAGGCAAACACUUUAGAAUUCCAGGAUGAUUUUCCAGGGAGGCUUCUUCAUAGAACCCCCAGCCCAGGGGUUGGUAGGAACCCCGAGGUGGCAUCCACCGCACCAUUCACAUGCGCAUCGUGCCGUCGGCCACUGAGAGCAUUUGGUGUUUGUGUCACCCGUGUUGAUUUCGUAACACCUCUUUGCAAGGAGAAUAAGGUACCUGAGAUAUUGUGAUUCACAAUAAGAAUAUAUAUUUGCUCUUGUUCUGCCACAGAGCUCCUAAAACCUUUGGAAUUUUCUAAGUGAUGAGAGUGAUAAAGACUUUUGUUCUGUUCUCGGGGUGGCUUUUGGAGCCCUGGCGGCAGGAGAACCAACCUGGCGAGUAGAAGGUGGAGACUUUCAGUCCCACUCCUCCCCACGCCAGCCCUCGCUUGUGGGCAGACUUACGUGGGGGAGAAUGAAUAUCCACGGUCAUCGCUCAAAGGUUUAAUCAAUCGUGUCUAUGUAAUGAGGCCUCCGUAGAGGGACCCAAAAGGGUGGGGUUCAAAGAACUCUUGCGUUGGGCAACACGUGGGGGUUUGAGACAGCAGUGCACCUGGACAGAACAGGACUUGCCCUUUCCCCUCCCUCUGUCCCCAAGCAUCUCUUCAACCUGAUUGUUCCUCAGUACUAUCCUUGUAUCGUGCACUAGUUGAUCUAGUAAGUCAAGUGUUUCUCUGAAUUCUGUAAGCUCCUGUAGCAAAUGAAUCAAACCCAAGCUGGGGGUUGUUGGAACGUUCCAUCUGUAGCUGGCAGGUCACAAACACAGGUGCCAACCUGGACCGGCAGCCAGCAUCUAGGGAGGUCGGGGUGGGGGCGGCUGGGGGGGUGCUGUGUCAUAGGACUGAGACCCAACUUGCAGGAUUUCAGGCUGUCUCUAGGUGCACAGCGUCAGAAUUGGGUGGAAUUACAGGACACCCGGUGUCCAGCUCAUGUCCAAGAAUUGAUUGGUGGUAAGGAUACCCUUCCCACACACGCGCGUUGGAGUUGGCGACCAGAACCACUAACACCUAUCAUUAGGCCAGUGCAGCAGGUGAGGACAGUGAGACGUGAAGACACAGAGCCUGCUGUGUCCUGGGCAUGGGAUAAAGUCGCCCUCGCAUUAUUGCAAUUGCUGUAGUGACCACUUACGUUGGCAUCUCUUUAAGAGCACCCACGCUCUUAAUUUAGUGUUUUUUUAAUACAUAGCAAAAAUUACAACAAAGAGAAGGAUCUAAUUUGUAUGUCCAGCUUCCUACAGUUCCGUAGGGUCUCCAGGACUCCAGCGAACCGUUGAUCCAGGUAUCAAAUGAUGGGUGAGAAAAGAACAGACAUAUUGGAGCUGACUUUCCAACAAGGGUAUCAAAAUAUAGAACUCUCCAGAGAGGAGCAAAGAUCUUCCAUGGAAUCCUCCCAAAGGGAGAAUGUGGCACAUUUUAUUUGCACCAUGAAUAAACAUACAUUCAUAUAAUGCUUGCCUUAUACCCAAAUUAGAUAUGGUACCAGGCAGUGGAGUAUAAUGGAGACGAGUGUGGGCUUUGCAAGGCACUGUGCUAUAAAUCGUGAGACUUUACGUGAAGUAUCUUACCCCUCAGGAUGCUCUCUUUUCUGUGGGUCCACUUGCAAAAUGGGGGCGGUAACUUCUUUACAGGGUCUGUGGGAAGAGGGAAUGAGAUACAGAACAUCAAGCAGCCAGUUCCUGGCUUAGCAUCAUGAAGUCACCAUGAACGCUGUCCCUACUUAAGGUGCGGAAAAAGAGAUGUUCAGAACCGCUAAUAUAUAACUAUUUUCUAUAACGCCUAUGGAAGCCUUUUUUCUGAAGGAAAGAAACAAACAAACAAAAAAAUAAGCAUACAAACCUUAAGAGAAACCUAAAGAAAAAGAUCUCGAAUAACAAACA